ensembl:misc_RNA 7SK 7SK RNA
GUAAGGGCAAUCUGGCUACAACAUCUGUCACCUCAUUGAUCACCACGGUUGAUCUGGGUAUCUGGCCUGCUAGGCAGGUGUCCCCUUCCUCCCUUACCUGUGUGCCCCUCCUGAAGCUGCAUGCUUGGUUGAGGACGACCAUCCCAGCAUCUGAUCGAGGAGGACUGGUCUUUAGUCAAGGGUAUAUGAGUAGCUGUGUUCUGAUAGAACCUCCAAACAAGCUCUCAACAGAAGGGACAGGAGGGGAAAACAGAGAGAACACUGCCCAUAAAGAAAUGUAAUCUUUAUCU